GAAGGUACAGCUCAGUGGUAAAGUACAUGCCUAACAUGCACAAGGUCCUGGGUUCCAUACCCAGUGCCUGCA
rfam:Camelus ferus unplaced genomic scaffold scaffold632, whole genome shotgun sequence.